rnacentral:rRNA from 1 species
CUUGCUCCCUGAGAUCAGCGGCGGACGGGUGAGUAACACGUGGGUAACCUGCCUGUAAGACUGGGAUAACUCCGGGAAACCGGGGCUAAUACCGGAUAACUCAGUUCCUCGCAUGAGGAACGGUUGAAAGGUGGCUUUUUGCUACCACUUACAGAUGGACCCGCGGCGCAUUAGCUAGUUGGUGAGGUAACGGCUCACCAAGGCGACGAUGCGUAGCCGACCUGAGAGGGUGAUCGGCCACACUGGGACUGAGACACGGCCCAGACUCCUACGGGAGGCAGCAGUAGGGAAUCUUCCGCAAUGGACGAAAGUCUGACGGAGCAACGCCGCGUGAGUGAAGAAGGUUUUCGGAUCGUAAAACUCUGUUGUUAGGGAAGAACAAGUGCCGUUCGAAUAGGGCGGCACCUUGACGGUACCUAACCAGAAAGCCACGGCUAAC